AACCUCAACCCCUCUUAUUUGCUUUCUCUUACAUGUGCCUCCUCUUUCAUCCCCUAAAGACACCUCCUCCUUCCUCCUCCUUCAUGUCUCUCAGCCAAGAAGCCAACAAGCUAACUUAGGUGUCAAAUUUAAACUAAAUCAGUAAACCUCAACACCAUUUUCUGAUUUCAAUCAGAGAUUGUUGAGAUAUUCCAACAUCUCCAAACCCCAAUUACUCUCUCUCACUCGUGACUCUCUCGCCUCUUGUGUCGUGCUGGUCCCCGAAACGCUGCAGCCUUAACUCGCCGGAACCCCACUGUUUCCUCGCCGCUGAUGCGCGGUGUUGCAUCGUCGCAGCUGCUGUCAGAGUUGUUGUUGGUGCUGUUGUGGUUCCCUCCCCUGUUCGUUGUGCUCGACGCUGCUCUCGCAUCAUCCACGCCACCUUGCCGUCACUGGAGCUGCAGUGAGCCUUGCUCGUUUUUGGCCACGUGUUGUGGUGUUUCCCCGGCUCGUGUUCUUCCUUCUCGCGCUGAUUGUCGUUGCCGCUGUCGGAGUUAUUGUCGUUGUUGUUGAUGUUCUUUACCCCCUUCUCUUGGUCUUCUUCUUAUCGUCGUUGCUACUCUCUUCUGGUUGUUGUUGCCACUUCGAGUGUGUAGUCGUCGUCGAUGUUGCUGUGUUGAUUCGGUGCUGAUCGUGGCGGUGCUGCCAUCUAUCUUCUUCACGUAUUGUUUCCUUAAAUGCUUCAGGUUGAAGCUGUAAGUUAACUUGUUGCAAGUUGAGGCUAAUACAAGCUGGAGCACUAUUAUAGUUGUUAUCGAAGUGAGGACGCUUGACUUUGUAUAGUUAAUUAACAAUCUUUUGUUUUAAUUCUUUAUAUAUAAGAAUCGCUAGCUAGUGCUCAUGAUUCUCUAUUGGUUGUUGCUCCGCGAAAGCGUUGAGGCUGUUGGGCUUUGGAAAUAUUUUAUAAAUUAAGUUUGUAAACAAGUUUAAAUUAUUUCUCGCUUUA